rnacentral:rRNA from 1 species
ACGAAGGGUGCAAGCGUUGUUCGGAAUUACUGGGCGUAAAGGGCGCGUAGGCGGUUACGUAAGAUAGAGGUGAAAUUCCAAGGCUUAACCAUGGAACUGCCUUUAUAACUAUGUAGCUAGAGUAUGGUAGAGGUAAGCGGAAUACCCAGUGUAGAGGUGAAAUGCGUAGAUAUUGGGUAGAGCACCGGAUGCGAAGGCGGCUUACUGGGCCAUUUCUGACGCUGAGGCGCGAAAGCGUGGGUAGCAAACAG